rnacentral:rRNA from 1 species
CCUACGGGAGGCUGCAGUGGGGAAUAUUGGACAAUGGGCGCAAGCCUGAUCCAGCAAUGCCGCGUGUGUGAAGAAGGCCUGCGGGUUGUAAAGCACUUUAAGCAGGAAAGAAGGGGUGGAAGUUAAUACCUUUCAUCAUUGACGUUACCUGCAGAAUAAGCACCGGCUAACUCCGUGCCAGCAGCCGCGGUAAUACGGAGGGUGCAAGCGUGGAGCGGAGUUACUGGGCGUAAUUCGAUCGUACGCGGGUGAAAGCCCCGGGCUUAACCUGGGAACUGCGGUGGAUACUGUCGAGCUAGAGUGUGGUAGAGGGGAGUGGAAGUUCCGGUGUAGCAGUGAAAUGCGUAGAGAUCGGAAGGAACACCAGUGGCGAAGGCGGCUCCCUGGACUAACACUGACGCUGAGGUGCGAAAGCGUGGGGAGCAAACAGGAUUAGAUACCCUAGUAGUC